rnacentral:rRNA from 1 species
UACGAAGGGGGCUAGCGUUGUUCGGAAUUACUGGGCGUAAAGGGCGCGUAGGCGGCCUUGAUAGUUGGGCGUGAAAGGCCUGGGCUUAACCCGGGAACUGCGUUCAAUACUGCGAGGCUAGAGUUGUGGGAGAGGUUGGUGGAAUUCCCAGUGUAGAGGUGAAAUUCGUAGAUAUUGGGAAGAACACCGGUGGCGAAGGCGGCCAACUGGACCACAACUGACGCUGAGGCGCGAAAGCGUGGGGAGCAAACAGG